rnacentral:rRNA from 1 species
UGGGGAAUCUUGCGCAAUGGGCGAAAGCCUGACGCAGCGACGCCGCGUGGGGGAUGACGGGUUUCGGCUUGUAAACCCCUGUUGCCCGGGACGAACUUCUCCUUUCGAGGAGAUUGACGGUACCGGGUGAGGAAGCACCGGCUAACUCUGUGCCAGCAGCCGCGGUAAUACAGAGGGUGCGAGCGUUGUCCGGAAUCACUGGGCGUAAAGGGCGCGUAGGUGGCGGCCCAAGUCCGUGGUGAAAGCUCGCCGCUUAACGGCGAGUCGGCCACGGAGACUGGGUGGCUCGAGCACUGUAGGGGCAGGUGGAAUUCCGGGUGUAGCGGUGGAAUGCGUAGAGAUCCGGAAGAACACCAGUGGCGAAGGCGGCCUGCUGGGCAGUUGCUGACACUGAUGCGCGACAGCGUGGGGAGCAAACAGGAUUAGAUACCCCCGUAGUCC